AACCAGCACCUCAAGUGGUCAGGAUGAUUAUUGGGCCUAAAGCAUCCGUAGCCGGCUCUGUAAGUUUUCGGUUAAAUCUGUACGCUUAACGUACAGGCUGCCGGGAAUACUGCAGAGCUAGGUAGUGGGAGAGGUAGACGGUACUCGGUAGGAAGGGGUAAAAUCCUUUGAUCUAUUGAUGACCACCUGUGGCGAAGGCGGUCUACCAGAACACGUACGACGGUGAGGGAUGAAAGCUGGGGGAGCAAACCGGAUUAGAUACCCGGGUAGUCCCAGCUGUAAACUAUGCAAACUCAGUGAUGCAUUGGCUUGUGGCCAAUGCAGUGCUGCAGGGAAGCCGUUAAGUUUGCCGCCUGGGAAGUACGUACGCAAGUAUGAAACUUAAAGGAAUUGGCGGGGGAGCACCACAAGGGGUGAAGCCUGCGGUUCAAUUGGAGUCAACGCCAGAAAUCUUACCCGGAGAGACAGCAGAAUGAAGGUCAAGCUGAAGACUUUACCAGACAAGCUGAGAGGUGGUGCAUGGCCGUCGCCAGCUCGUGCCGUGAGAUGUCCUGUUAAGUCAGGUAACGAGCGAGAUCCCUGCCUCUAGUUGCCACCAUUACUCUCAGGAGUAGUGGGGCGAAUUAGCGGGACCGCCGCAGUUAAUGCGGAGGAAGGAAGGGGCCACGGCAGGUCAGUAUGCCCCGAAACUCUGGGGCCACACGCGGGCUGCAAUGGUAACGACAAUGGGUUUCGAAUUCGAAAGGAUGAGGUAAUCCUCAAACGUUACCACAGUUAUGGCUGAGGGCUGCAACUCGCCCUCACGAAUAUGGAAUCCCUAGUAACUGCGUGUCACUAUCGCGCGGUGAAUACGUCCCUGCUCCU
rnacentral:rRNA from 1 species